GACGAACGCUGGCGGCGUGCUUAACACAUGCAAGUCGAACGAAGAGCGAUGGAAGCUUGCUUCUAUCAAUCUUAGUGGCGAACGGGUGAGUAACGCGUAAUCAACCUGCCCUUCAGAGGGGGACAACAGUUGGAAACGACUGCUAAUACCGCAUACGAUCUAAUCUCGGCAUCGAGGAUAGAUGAAAGGUGGCCUCUACAUGUAAGCUAUCACUGAAGGAGGGGAUUGCGUCUGAUUAGCUAGUUGGAGGGGUAACGGCCCACCAAGGCGAUGAUCAGUAGCCGGUCUGAGAGGAUGAACGGCCACAUUGGGACUGAGACACGGCCCAGACUCCUACGGGAGGCAGCAGUGGGGAAUCUUCCGCAAUGGACGAAAGUCUGACGGAGCAACGCCGCGUGAGUGAUGACGGCCUUCGGGUUGUAAAGCUCUGUUAAUCGGGACGAAAGGCCUUCUUGCGAAUAGGGAGAAGGAUUGACGGUACCGGAAUAGAAAGCCAUGGCUAACUACGUG
rnacentral:rRNA from 1 species